UCAACAUCAUAUAGUAACUACGGCUAGCUCAUGAGUUUUAUUCAAUAAUAAAUGAGUAUUUCUAUAGUUGUGACUUUGUCACAUUUCUUUGUUUUUCACAGUACCUCCCUCAGAAUUGCUUUUACUUUUCAUGUACUUUUUCUUCUUGUUAAAUUUUCUUUUUGAUUUUUUUCUUUUUGCAGUUUUAAGCUAACCUAUAAUCACUAUACUCUACUGAUCUCUCCUAUUGCUCUGUUUUUACAAAACCACUGUAAUGUAUCUACUGAACCCUCAAUAUGUAUUGCCAGAUGUCUAUAAUCAUGCAAAUUAGGACCAAAGAAAAGGGUAAGCACAAAUGAUCAUUUUUAGCACAGGCUUUGUAUAAAGGUUC
rnacentral:lncRNA from 1 species